AUACGGAGGGUCCAAGCGUUAUCCGGAAUCAUUGGGUUUAAAGGGUCCGUAGGCGGGCAAUUAAGUCAGAGGUGAAAUCCCACAGCUCAACUGUGGAACUGCCUUUGAUACUGGUUGUCUUGAAUUAUAGUGAAGUAGAUAGAAUAUGUAGUGUAGCGGUGAAAUGCUUAGAUAUUACAUAGAAUACCGAUUGCGAAGGCAGUCUACUAACUGUAUAUUGACGCUGAUGGACGAAAGCGUGGGGAGCGAACAGGAUUAGAAACCCUUGUAGUCC
rnacentral:rRNA from 1 species